rnacentral:rRNA from 1 species
CAAUAGCGUAUAUUAACGUUGUUGCAGUUAAAAAGCUCGUAGUUGGAUUUCUGGAGGGAGCGUCGGCCCGUAUUUACGAGUGCGUGACGUCUCUGUCCAUCCUUGCGGGAAGGCACGGCAUUGAUUUGUUGUGUCGGAUCGCAUCAUUUACUGUGAAAAAAUUAGAGUGUUCAAAGCAGGCUUUCGCUUGAAUACAUUAGCAUGGAAUAAUAAGAUAGGACUUUGAUGCUAUUUUGUUGGUUGAGCCUAAAGUAAUGAUUAAUAGGGAUAGUUGGGGGCACCUGUAUUGCGUUGUCAGAGGUGAAAUUCUUGGAUUUACGCAAGACAAACAGCUGCGAAAGCGUCUGCCAAGGAUGUUUNCAUUAA